UUUGGACAAUGGGGGCAACCCUGAUCCAGCAAUGCCGCGUGUGUGAAGAAGGCCUUCGGGUUGUAAAGCACUUUUGUCCGGAAAGAAAACUUCUGGGUUAAUACCCUGGGAGGCUGACGGUACCGGAAGAAUAAGCACCGGCUAACUACGUGCCAGCAGCCGCGGUAAUACGUAGGGUGCGAGCGUUAAUCGGAAUUACUGGGCGUAAAGCGUGCGCAGGCGGUUUGUUAAGACAGAUGUGAAAUCCCCGGGCUUAACCUGGGAACUGCAUUUGUGACUGGCAAGCUAGAGUAUGGCAGAGGGGGGUAGAAUUCCACGUGUAGCAGUGAAAUGCGUAGAGAUGUGGAGGAAUACCGAUGGCGAAGGCAGCCCCCUGGGCCAAUGCUGACGCUCAUGCACGAAAGCGUGGGGAGCAAACAGGAUUAGAUACCCUGGUAGUCCACGCCCUAAACGAUGUCAACUAGUUGUUGGGGAUUCAUUUCCUUAGUAACGUAGCUAACGCGUGAAGUUGACCGCCUGGGGAGUACGGUCGCAAGAUUAAAACUCAAAGGAAUUGACGGGGACCCGCACAAGCGGUGGAUGAUGUGGAUUAAUUCGAUGCAACGCGAAAAACCUUACCUACCCUUGACAUGGACGGAACCCUGCUGAAAGGUGGGGGUGCUCGAAAGAGAACCGUCGCACAGGUGCUGCAUGG
rnacentral:rRNA from 1 species